AUUGAACGCUGGCGGCAUGCUUUACACAUGCAAGUCGAACGGCAGCGCGGGCUUCGGCCUGGCGGCGAGUGGCGAACGGGUGAGUAAUACAUCGGAACGUGCCCAGUAGUGGGGGAUAGCUCGGCGAAAGCCGGAUUAAUACCGCAUACGACCUAAGGGUGAAAGCGGGGGAUCUUCGGACCUCGCGCUAUUGGAGCGGCCGAUGGCAGAUUAGCUAGUUGGUGGGGUAAAGGCCUACCAAGGCGACGAUCUGUAGCUGGUCUGAGAGGACGACCAGCCACACUGGGACUGAGACACGGCCCAGACUCCUACGGGAGGCAGCAGUGGGGAAUUUUGGACAAUGGGCGAAAGCCUGAUCCAGCAAUGCCGCGUGUGUGAUGAAGGCCUUCGGGUUGUAAAGCACUUUUGGCGGGAACGAAAAGGACUGUGCCAAUACCACGGUUCGAUGACGGUACCCGCAGAAUAAGCACCGGCUAACUACGU
rnacentral:rRNA from 1 species